rnacentral:lncRNA from 1 species
CUCACAUUAUAAUAAAAAUAAUUUUUUUUCUUCUAAACACCACAAUACUAAACCAGCGAGCUUUCGCGUGCAGACGCCCGUCCAGGACACUAAAUGUGACCAAACACAAAGGGAUGGGCUCAAAAUACAAGUAGGGGUGUUUAGUGGGUGGUUGGACGGCCGCGUUGUUCAGACAUCCACACCUAGAAUUUCUCCAGUGGGUGGCCUGCUGAUAGGAAACAAACGUUAGAUCACAUUAAUUGCUUCCCAAAGAAAGUCAAAUCUCCUCAACGAACCCAGUAAUGAAGAAGCAGACUCCUCUUUUAAACACUGAAUUCAACAAACAAACUACAAUGGAAAAAGAAAAACGAAAUCAGUAUUCAGGAUUCAGUAUUUACAACAAAAUGGAGCCUUCGUAUACUUACCGUACGAAUUUUUUGUUUAAAUUCCUUCCCGGGUUCUUUCUCUUAUGCAUGAUCUCGUGCCCGGAAUCCACAUUCGGAAACAAAUCUGAUCGCCUCGCUCUGCUGGACUUCAAGAGGAGAAUAACAGAAGAUCCUCUCCAUAUCAUGAACUCAUGGAAUGAUUCGGUCGAUUUGUGCAGUUGGGUUGGCGUUACGUGCAACCAUGCGAACAAAAGAGUCAUGAUCUUGAACUUGGAAGCUCAAAAGUUGGUAGGCUCCAUACCGCCUUCAAUCGGAAAUCUUACUUAUCUUAAUGGAAUCAACUUGAUAGACAACAACUUUCACGGCGAAAUUCCUCAAGAAAUCGGACGUCUACUAGGCCUGCAGUAUCUCAACCUGUCUUCGAAUUCUUUCGGUGGGAAAAUUCCAACUAAUAUAUCUCACUGCACGCAGCUAAGAAUGCUCAAUGUUGGUUCAAAUAAGCUGAUUGGGUCAAUUCCGAACCAACUCAAUUCGUUGUUGAAUUUAGCCCAUUUUUUGGUUGGUAAAAACAAUCUCACCGGAACAAUUCCGGAUUGGAUAGGAAACUUUUCUUCCAUGUCUGCAAUCUCUCUUGAUAACAACAAUUUUGAAGGAAGCAUACCAUAUGCGCUCGGGCGGUUGACAAGCUUGGGAAGCUUCGAACUUGCAUCAAACAAACUUUCCGGUACGGUUCCUUCUUCAAUCUAUAAUAUAUCGUCGAUACACUCUAUUCAUGUUACCAACAACCAGCUGCAUGGAGAGCUCCCACAAAAUGUGGGGACUACUCUUCCUAAUCUUGAGUUAUUUGCUGGCGGUGUCAACAAAUUCACCGGAAGUAUUCCUGUUUCUUUGUCAAAUGCUUCUAAACUUCGAUUUCUUGAUUUUGCCGAAAAUGGCCUCACGGGAAAAUUCCCUGCUGAAAAUUUUGGAACUUUGAAAGGGUUGGUGAGACUAAACUUUGAUGACAAUAGGCUGGGAAGUGGGAAAACAAGUGACCUGAGUUCUCUCAGUUUUCUGGCCAAUUGUACUAAUCUUGAGGUGUUAAGUUUUAGUCGUAAUCGUUUUGGAGGGGAAUUGCCAGAGUCCAUAGGCAACCUUUCGACGAAACUGAGAAUUUUUACAAUGGGGGGAAAUUUAUUACAUGGAAGCUUCCCUACCCGGGUUGUGAAUCUUGUAAACUUGAUCAAUCUAGGAAUGGAACAAAACUAUCUUGGUGGUAGUGUCCCUGAUGUGAUCGGUAAGCUUCAGAAGUUGCACGGGCUGUAUUUGAAUCUUAACCAAUUCUCUGGGACAAUCCCGUCGACGCUAGGCAACUUGACUUCAGUCACAAGGCUCUUCAUGGAGGGGAAUAGGUUUGAGGGAAGCAUACCUCCGAGUCUCGGGAACUGCCAAAGCUUAUUGAUGCUUAACCUUUCUAGUAAUCAGCUAAGUGGCACCAUACCUAAAGAGGUUAUCGGGCUUUCAUCUCUAUCAAUUUCUUUGUCCAUGUCGAACAAUUCUUUAACUGGUUCUCUACCAUCUGAAGUGGGCGAGUUGGUACAUCUCUCGGAGCUAGAUGUAUCAGGAAACAAGUUAUCGGGUGAAAUCCCCAUAACCCUCGGCAGCUGUACUAGUUUGGUGAGCCUACAUUUGGAAGGUAACCAAUUUGAAGGAACAAUUCCUCAAUCUCUAGCCAACUUAAGAGGCUUGGAAGAAAUAGAUAUUUCACGCAAUAAUUUAUCUGGCCAGAUUCCUGAAUUUUUAGGUAAGCUUGGAGCUCUGAAGCAACUCAAUAUUUCCUAUAAUGAAUUUGAGGGUGAAUUGCCCACAGAAGGGAUAUUUUCAAAUGCGAGUGGUUUCUCGGUUCUUGGAAAUAAUAAGCUCUGCGGUGGCAUCCGAGAAUUACGUCUACAUGAAUGCACCAGCAAAAAAUCUCAUUCAUCUCAAGGACUACUUGCCCCGAAAGUAAUAAUCCCUCUAACUUGUGCACUUGCAUUAAUAAUUACUCUGUCAUGUUUCAUUGCUUCUUGUGCAUUGGUGAAAAGGUCAAGAGGUAGACCUUUACCUUCACGUUCUAAUGAAGAAUCAAAAUCAGGUGUCUCUUAUUUACAACUGGUUGAAUCAACCAAUGGGUUCUCUCCAGAAAAUCUCAUUGGUUCGGGAAGUUUUGGUUCUGUAUACAGGGGAGUACUCUCUGGUAAUGGCAUCAUAGUUGCCGUUAAGGUGUUAAACCUUCAACAAGAAGGAGCUUCCAAGAGUUUCAUUGAUGAAUGCAAAGCUUUAAGAAGUGUAAGGCACCGCAAUCUUCUCAAGAUCAUAACUGCAUGCUCAAGCAUUGAUAGUCAAGGUAAUGAGUUCAAAAGUCUAGUUUAUGAAUUCAUGGAAAAUGGAAGCCUGGACCCUUGGCUGCAUCCAAGGGAUGACGAAGAAUCUCCAAACAAGAGAUUGAGCCUUACCCAAAGACUGAAUAUUGCCAUUGAUGUCGCUUCUGCACUAGAUUAUCUACACCACAAUUGUGAAACAUGCAUUGUUCAUUGUGAUUUAAAGCCAAGCAAUGUUCUUCUUGACGAAGAUAUGGUUGCUCAUGUUGGUGACUUUGGCCUAGCAAAGUUCCUCUUGGAAGCAUCAUAUGGUACAACCUUGUCAGUAGGGCUAAAAGGUUCCAUAGGCUACAUUCCUCCAGGUAUGGAUUUCUAUGAUCCUCAUUUGUUAUAUUCUUUUAGCACUAAAGAAAUUUCAAAUAUGCUAUAAAUUCUAAGCAUGAACUGUUUUGAAUGGCAGAGUAUGGGAUGGGAGGACAAGUCUCCACACAAGGAGAUGUUUAUAGUUACGGGAUACUGUUGCUAGAAAUGUUCACAGGAAAAAGGCCAACUGAUGACAUUUUUAAAGAUGGUCUAAGCAUUCACCAAUUCACCGCCAUGGCAUUGCCGGACCAUGUCAAGGACGUAGUUGAGCCCUCAUUGCUCCUCGAAACAGAUGACGAAGAUGUUGAAGAUGAUGAUGGCGACGGAUAUGGGAAUAAAAUACGGGAAAGACCACUGGCCAAAUACAAGGAUCCCGGCCCGGACAAAGCAAAAAAACUGGAGGAGUGCUUGUAUUCGGUGAUACAAAUAGGCAUCUCGUGCUCCGCAAUAUCACCAGGAGAGCGGAUGCGUAUGGAUGUGGUUGUCAACAAAAUGGGUGCACUUAGAGACUCAUAUCUCAACUUAAGAAGAAGAAGAUGAUGACGAUUACAAUGUGCAACACCAGGCUAAGUUUCUUUACCUAUUCCGAUCUAUAUAUAGCUUUUAUCUGUAUAAAUGUAUGUGACAUCAUGUAAGAUUGAAUCAAUAUUUUAUCACUAUAUAUAUUUGUCUCUUCAUAAUCGCAGGGCUUGGAAUUUGGUUGGUUUAAGAGCAUUUCAUGCUUGCACCUGAACUACUCAAGAGUUCUAUUACCUCUUUCCUUACUUCGGUUGUAUAAAAAACACCAAUCACACAAUUUGAUACUACUUUUCUAAAACAAAACUUAUCAAUCAUGUUGAAGGAAGAGACAUACGCCAACAAAACAAAGAGAUAUUAUUCGAUAGACAAGGGCACACUUACCAGGUCAUGAAGUAGCAGCAAAGUUGCACACCACCGCAAAUAAGUGUUCCCAGUAAAAUUACUGCAAUUUGAGCUUCCAUAACAGUAAGAAGAAUCAACUUUUCAGUAUGAAUUUGUGUUGAUCGGUCUGGGAUUAAAUUUCGCAGAAUGAUCCCUAGGGAAAGAGGGGGAGGAGUCAGGAAAAGAGGUUCUUUGAGGCUUUUUAUCUGGUUAUUUAAAUUUGGAAUAAAGGAAAGAGAAAAAAAAUAGAGGGAUUUGAUUUGGAGGUUUUAGUGUAAAGGUCACAAAAUACUUCUAAUACUAAGAUUGAGUCAAUC